GAUGAACGCUGGCGGCGUGCUUAACACAUGCAAGUCGAACGUGAUCCAUUAGCAAUAGUGGUGAAAGUGGCGAACGGGUGAGUAACACGUAGAUAACCUACCCUGAAGCGGGGGAUAACGAUUGGAAACGGUCGCUAAUACCGCAUGAGCCUAUUGAAGCGGGAGUGAGAUAGGGAAAAUUCAGGUGCUUUAGGCGGGGUCUGCGUCCGAUUAGCUAGUUGGUGAGGUAACGGCUCACCAAGGCGACGAUCGGUAGCUGGUCUGAGAGGACGAUCAGCCACACGGGAACUGAGACACGGUCCCGACUCCUACGGGGGCAGCAGUGAGGAAUAUUGGGCAAUGGGCGGAAGCCUGACCCAGCAACGCCGCGUGGAGGAUGAAGGCCUUCGGGUCGUAAACUCCUUUUGACGGGGACGAGGAAGGACGGUACCCGUCGAAUAAGUCACGGCUAACUACGUGCCAGCAGCCGCGGUAA
rnacentral:rRNA from 1 species